rnacentral:lncRNA from 1 species
GGAAAUCUCUUUUGUUUUGUGAAACCCCUUGAUUUUUGAAUGAUGACAAUUCAUUUAAUAUAUUCAAAAGACCAUAUGGGUCAAAGGCAGUGUGGGGGCUGCCAUAAUACUUCAAUGUGCCUUCUUUUGAAGAAUAGGAAGAUUUUAUGAAUUAUGCUAUAGGGGUUUUAUAUUUUUAGAGCUCUACUAAAAAUACAAAAAUUAGCCUGGCCUGGUGGUGCAUGCCUAUAGUCCCAGCUACUCAGGAGGCUGAGGCAGGAGAAUCACUUGAACCCAGAAGGUGGAGAUUGCAAUGAACUGAGAUCGUGCCACUGUACUCCAGUCUGGAAGACAGAGCAAGACUCCAUCUCAAAAUAAUAAUGAUAUUAAUAAUAAUAAUAAUGCCUCCAACUCCACAGGUAGUAUUCCCUGGAGAACAAGACAGCAAUGUACCUCUGAGUAUAUGCAGAAGUUCUAAGUGCCAUGAAGUCAUCUCAUCCCUGGCUCCCUACGAAAACCCUUGGAUUUUCAUACAGUGUUGCUGAUACCCUAAGAUUCCUUGGAGGUGUGUCAGAGUCCAACUGUGUUAGAGAAGAAAACUAUUCUGACACAUUAACAUGGAGUUUGGGCACGCCUCGUAGUCCUGGGGUAGGUGGAAGCUUCUCUGAAUCACAUUAUCAACCAUCUAGGGAAGCCUGCCCGGAACAAUUCUGUGACACAAGAAUUAUCCUCUAAAACAUACAUAGGCUUUCUUGUUCUUAUUCUCUAAUCCUUGAAUGUAUUAAGCAGUUUGAAAUGAAAAUGGAUUGUCCUUGUUUUGUAAGCAGAUUUGAAGAUUUUCUUCUAUAUCUAUUACUUCUCACACAAUGCUUGUCCAAGUACUGGGCACGUAAUA